UGUGAGACGGAUCUCCGGUCAUU
rnacentral:miRNA from 1 species